rnacentral:rRNA from 1 species
CCUACGGGGGACAGCAGUGAGGAAUAUUGGUCAAUGGACGAGAGUCUGAACCAGCCAAGUAGCGUGAAGGAUGACUGCCCUAUGGGUUGUAAACUUCUUUUAUAUGGGAAUAAAAUGUUCCACGUGUGGGAUUUUGUAUGUACCAUAUGAAUAAGGAUCGGCUAACUCCGUGCCAGCAGCCGCGGUAAUACGGAGGAGCCGAGCGUUAUCCGGAUUUAUUGGGUUUAAAGGGAGCGUAGGUGGAUUGUUAAGUCAGUUGUGAAAGUUUGCGGCUCAACCGUAAAAUUGCAGUUGAAACUGGCAGUCUUGAGUACAGUAGAGGUGGGCGGAAUUCGUGGUGUAGCGGUGAAAUGCUUAGAUAUCACGAAGAACUCCGAUUGCGAAGGCAGUUCACUGGACUGCAACUGACACUGAGGCUCGAAAGUGUGGGUAUCAAACAGGAUUAGAUACCCUGGUAGUC